rnacentral:lncRNA from 10 species
UUCACUCUGGACAGACGGCACAAGCCCCUGGGAAGCACCCAGCCUUCUCUGCACCUGUGUAAUGGUAAACAAAAGGCCUGACUUCUGAGCAGCGAUUUUCAAUUAACAAUGCAUCAGAUUUCACUCUAUCCCAGCACCCCACUGAAACCUCCAGUGCAGAUAUUUUAAUAAAAUAAGACACACAAGAAUAGGGAAAAUGAGAGACAAAAACCAACAAACAAAAACAUGGGAGCAGAAGAAGAAAUUGAUUAUGUGAUAGCUGGCUUUAAAACCUGAGAAGACCAAAUCUUGACCUUGCAGUGAGAAUACAGAGGAUUCUUCAAACAAGCCAGGAAUUUUUGACCUUGCAGUGAGAAUACAGAGGAUUCUUCAAACAAGGCAGGAAUGCCCAUUCGACUUUCCCCAAUGGCUCUGCAUAAGAGGAACCAACAGAGAUCCUUUCCUGAGACCUAAGGAGGCAAAAGCUAGGUGGCAACCAAAGAUUUCAGAGGAGGAAGCAGGGAAGCGUCUGGCAGCACACUCAAUGUCCAAUGCCCACUGGGCUGACCCAGAAGCAAAUUUUGUGUCAGCUCCUCCAGCCCACCAUGGAUCAUCCUGGGAGCUGUCUUCAGAUGGUAAUUAUUCUCAGCUGAAGCCAUGGCCCCAUUAAAGACAGAACACUGGAGAUGAAAAGUCCCAGAUUCCAUUAGCAGUCUCUACUUCAGACAUGAACUAUGGGACUUGAUGCCUCUGAUGUGUCUCUUCAUGUUGCUUCCACAGGCUUAAUGAUGCCUUUAGCAUCUCUCACCUGAAAGUAUCGCUCAUUAUGUCACUGAGAUGCACGGCCAUAUUUCAGUUAAUUAAGUUCAUUUGCUAGUUUAUAAAGGAAACACAAUUAAUAAAAUAAGUCAAGCAUGUCUUACUUUUUUCAGGUCAACAUUGAAAUGAGAACUAUUUUGACUAAUCUGCUCGGAAUAAAAUGAGAAAAACAGUUCAUGCUGAACUACUCAUAUGUGGAGGUGAUGAACAUAUGUUUCUAAUUUUGAGCUGAGAGAAAAGCAAAAAUAAACAAAUUUAACAAAUCUUAGUUCUUGACAACCACUCACAGAAUAGUUCAGCUAAGAAAUAAACAUAUGGUUCAGGGAAUAAAGAAACUGCCUGGCUCGGUGUGGAAAUGACACUUCUAGACUCAGAGUUUCAUGACUGCAGUGAGCUCAUUUCUUCUGUAAUUAGGGUCAAGACUUGAACUUUUCCUGUGGAUUUUCCCAUCAGAAGACUGGUGCCAUUUAUCCAUUUAGGUGAGCACUAUAAGGACAUUGCUUCAUAUCACGCUUCAAGAGUGAUGAGUUUCACAAGGAGAUUGCAUGUCUCCUCAGAGCUGGCCCGUCUGUAUGUGAUCAGGUGGGAGAAUUUGCUUCAGUAAGUGGAGUGUGAUGGGACAGGGGUGUUAAGUGCCCCCUGAGGAAGUGUUGGCUCUAAGAAGAGAAGAAGUUUGGCCAUGAUGAUGCUUGGCCUCUUUUCCAGCCAUGUCUCAGUCAACCCUAGCUGCUGGGAAAAUUAUCACCGACUGGUAAACAGCAAACAUUUAUUUCUCGCAGUUCCGGAGACUGGAAGUCUGAGAUCAGAGUGCCAGCGUGGUCAGCUUCUGGUGAAGCCCCUCUUGUGCCCCACAUGGCAGUGAGAAAGUGAGCUGGCUCCAGGUCCUCUUUUCGUAAGGGCACUCAUCCACUUAUGAGGCUCCACUCUCAUGACCUAAUUACCUCCCAAAGGCCCCACCUCCAAGUAUGAUCACAUGGGGGACUCGAUUUCAACAUAUGAGUUUUGGGGGACACAAACUUUUAGUCUGCAACAAGACAGGAUUGUCUUACUAUGAUCAGACUGUGGGUGAUUUACUUCGUUUCUUGACACAUCUGUUUUUAUUCUUAAGCCUGUAUACAUAGAUAGUACUUACUGUUUUACAAGAAUCCAGUUUUUCCUUGCAUGGUAAUUUAUUUUUAAAAGCACUGUUUUAAGGUUUCUGUGAUGAGCUAAAGGCAUCUAACUGAAUCCAGAAUAUACUGUCAACUUUAGUGUCUCAGGUCGUGUAUUGUGAAGGAAAAGGUGCCACACGCUUGACACUGGUCUUGGUGCAACCUCAAUCGCAACAUGUGAAUCCCAAGGGAGUUUCUUCCUCUCCAAAAGCCUCUGCUUCCCCAUCUUUUUUUUUUUUUUUUUCUGAGACAGAGUCUCGCUGUGUCACCCAGGCUGGAGUGCAGUGGCGCAAUCUCGUCUUGCUGCAACCUCCAUCUCCUAGGUUCAAGUGAUUCUCCUGCCUCAGCCUCCUGAGUAGAUGGGGUUACAGGUGCGUGCCACCAUGC